rnacentral:misc_RNA from 1 species
AAUUAUCAACUCAAUUCUCUUUGAGAAGUGAGCUUGGACUUGGAGGCUGCUGGAACUUGUUUUCAGCUUCUCUUGAAUGCAUUAGCUGGACCUUUGAUUUGCAGCAUAUAUGCGGUGUGAUAAUGUCGUCACUGUGUAGCUCAAGUCAGCUGGCUUCUAACCGUCCUUUCACGGGGACACUUGAUCA